UGCGACCCAGUCCUCCGUUUUGUGACCGUGGUCUCGGUGGAAGUCUCACCAGAAACCAGGGUUCCGGAAAGAGUCGGGUGCUUUCAUUUUCUGAGGCCACUUGACCUGUUGGCCCAUCUGCCUCAGAACAUUGAUCAGCUCCGGCCUUGAGAUGGAGAGGUGAGAGAUGUCUGGCCACGUGGACUGCCAUCCCUUCUGCCUUCUCGAUCGGCCGGUUCUGGUAUAUGCCCCAGUUUCGAUUCCUGGAGUCCCUGUCUGGAUUUUGGGAGGGUUUCUCGUCUCGCUCGGUUCGGUCUGAUCUGAUCGUCUUGGGAUCUUGCUUUUGCUGCGUGAUACCACUCAAAUUACCCUAAGGAGUGAUUUAUACUCUCUCAAAUAAGAGGUCGAGUUAUAAUACUUAGGGAUCGAAUUCACAGGGAGCUAGGUAACCUAGAUAAAUCUAAUAUGAUUUGCUAAGCAUGAUGGUUUUAGAGUUUUUAAAUAUAAAUUUGCAGUUUUAUAU
rnacentral:lncRNA from 1 species